rnacentral:rRNA from 1 species
UACGGGGGGAGCAAGCGUUGUUCGGAUUUACUGGGCGUAAAGGGCGCGUAGGCGGCCAGCACAAGUCAGUUGUGAAAUCUCCGGGCUUAGCUCGGAAAGGUCAACUGAUACUGUGCGGCUAGAGUGCAGAAGGGGCAACUGGAAUUCCCGGUGUAGUGGUGAAAUGCGUAGAUAUCGGGAGGAACACCAGUGGCGAAGGCGACUACCUGGCCCAUUCUUGACGCUGAGGCGCGAAAGCUAGGGGAGCGAACGGG